ACAAGAGAGAUAUGCUGGAUUUCGUAUCACAAAACCACAAGUCGAACACUUCCCAAGUGUCUAGGACUGUGUGAUGUAUUUUUCGAUGAUGCGUGCAGUUCCCAGUAGGGUGGCCUUUUGCAGUUGGCAGAUCGUAAUUUUGUCAAUAUCUAUUGUUUCAAAAUGCCAGCUGAGAUCUUUUGGCACGGCACCCAGUGUGCCCAUCACCACCGGGACCACCUGCACUGGUUUCUGCCUGAGUCUUUGCAGUUCAAUCUUGAGGUCCUGAUAGCGGCUGAAUUUUUCCUGUUGUUUUUCGUCAAUGCGACUGUCACCUGGGAUGGCGACAUCAAUGAUCCAAACCUUUUUCUUUUCCACAACUGGGAUGUCUGGUGUGUUGUGUUCCAGAACUUUGUCAGUCUGGAUUUGGAAGUCCCACAGUAUCUUUGUGUGUUCAUUUUUCACGACCUUUGCAGGUGUGUGAUCCCACCAGUUCUUUGCUGCUGGGAGGUGGUACUUGAGGCAUAAGUUCCAAUGAAUCCUUUGGGCCACGUAGUUGUGCCUCUGUUUGUAGUCUGUCUGUGCGAUUUUCUUACAGCAGCUGAUGAUCCAAAAUGCAGACUGUGUAAGGAAGCUGAUGAAACAAUUGAUCACAUCCUCAGCUGCUGUAAGAAAAUCGCACAGACUGACUACAAACAGAGACACAACUAUGUGGCCCAAAUGAUUCAUUGGAAUUUAUGCCUCAAGUACCACCUCCCAGCAGCAAAGAACUGGUGGGAUCACAAACCUGCAAAAGUAUUGGAGAAUGACCAUGGAAAGAUACUGUGGGACUUCCGAAUCCAGACUGACAAAGUUCUGGAACACAACACACCAGACAUCACAGCUGUGGAAAAGACAAAGGUUUGGAUCAUUGAUGUCGCCAUCCCAGGUGACAGUCGCAUUGAGGAAAAACAACAGGAAAAACUCAGGAUGUCAAGAUUGAACUUCAAAGACUCUGGCAGAAACCAGUGCAGGUGGUCCUGGUGGUGA
rnacentral:lncRNA from 1 species